rnacentral:rRNA from 1 species
UACAGAGGUCCCAAGCGUUGUUCGGAUUCAUUGGGCGUAAAGGGCGCGUAGGCUGCGGGGCAAGUCGGGUGUGAAAUCUCAGAGCUCAACUCUGAAACUGCACUCGAUACUGCUUUGCUUGAGGACUGGAGAGGAGAUUGGAAUUCACGGUGUAGCAGUGAAAUGCGUAGAUAUCUGGAGGAACACCGGUGGCGAAGGCGGCAUCCUGGACCAAUUCUGACGCUGAGUGAGCGAAAAGCCAGGGGAGCAAACGGG